GCUUCUAAAACAGCUUUUUUAAAUCUUUAACUUCAGCCAUGGAGAACUGCAAAUAUGUUACUACUGCUCUCAAUAACAAUGCUUCCCUGAAUUUAUCAGGCGCUAUCUACAAAUGUCAGUCAGAAAAAGUUAUGAUGGAUGACGAUUGUGCCAUGCUGACUCUCUCUCACUCUGAAAAGAACACAUUUUGAAAUCAGUGGAACAUAACCGGCCAAACAAGCUGUGCAAACUAAACGGAAACAACACAGGAAGUCUUAUAAAAGGGUUGAAGCUUUCAUCCAUGUAUACAGGUAAGAAUCCAGCAACAGAUUCAGGUAUUAUGUUUAUUUUGUCAGAAAGUUGUUUUUAAUUGCAAGCUAAAGCUUGCUGUUAGCUAGCCAGCUGGAGUUCAAUGGCUGGCUUUCUAACUAACAAUGAACCUAACGUUAUUUGGUUAACUUUAGCUUGCUCUGACAAUCGGUUUGUAUUGCAAGUAACGUUACUGUAUGGACUGGGAUUAUAUUUCAUAUUUUAGCUAGCUAACGUUAAUGUGACAUGUCUAAACAAAAGACCCCAAGUUAAAGCUUGCUGUUAGCUGGCUAACGUCAGCUGGGGUUAGGUGGCCGGCUUGCUAGCUAACAUUAACUUGUGUAUGUAGUGUGUGUAACGUUAGUGUGGUUUUCUCAGAAUGCCAUUUCUCAUUCUAACUAGCUAAUAUUGAAACUAUUGGUUAACUUUAGCUGGCUAUGACAAUCGGUUUGUAUUGCUGAUGUUAGAUGGCUGGCUAGCUAGCUUUGUCUGAGAUUGACGGUUGGUUGGACUGGAGGAUGGUACGGUGCUGGUGGAAAGCUAUGGCUGGCAACAACACCGACUCCGUACUUCAGGCCACUGCCACAUACUGUAUCAAGCAGUACCAGCACUUCAGCUUCAAUGCUCUGGAGCCUGGUUUUGUCGCCAAGGAGCGUUCGGACUGCUGCGCAUUUUUCCUCCCAUAGAUGGUCUGCCUGUAAAAGCACCACCUGGACCGGCCAUAGACAAACUAUCUUUUUGACAAGAUCAUGGAGUUUAGCGACGAAGAGGCUAUGGACAUCACAUGCCCUGGACCAAAGUCAAGGGCAGGGCAGAAACAGGCUCUCUGAAUAUAGAUUCCCUUGUUCAUGCGUGGUUUGAACGGACCAGUCAUCAGCACUAUCUGUAGUGCCACUAUUCACAUGACUCUCUCCGAACACACACGCCAUACUUUGCUGCUACAAUUUAUUUAUCCUGCUGCUCAGCCACUUUACUCCUGAUUGUAUGCAUAUAACUACCUCGUCUAUCACUGAUAUCAUUAUUGAUAUUGUUCUUGUACAUACUGUAUAUGUUAUUUAUAUUGACACUAUCCAUUUCUGAUAUUGUUACUAUGCAAGUAACCAUUUGGCUGUAACAUUUACACCUUCUGUAGAGACCAUCCACUUAGCAACAUAUUGAUAUAUAAUUAAUAUUGAUGUGUGGUCG